AUGAAGAGGCUCCGGCUGCUUCCGGUGCCUCCCGAACCGGGCGACGGCGGAGGGCAGGCGAGCUGAGCAUGCGCAGGCGGUGGGGCCGCUCGCGGCCCCGCCCUCUGCGCCCGGCGUCCUGACAGAGGAUGCGCUCCCCGCUGCUGGGGACGCCGCCCUCAGCGUCGGGGUGCGAGGACUCGGGUCUCCGCGCGGCCCCGUCUCCUCUCGGAGGCUGCUGGACUUGGGCGACCCGAAAAGCACUUCGGGCGGGCUCCCACGAGCACCGAUGCAGGCCGUGGGUCACCUUUUUCUCCACUGUUACUGCCCAGUUCUUUUGGCCUCGCGUCUCAGUUUAAGGACGACCGCUUCUGUGGAGCCUUGGCUGACCUCCCUCCAACCACAGUCUCCAAAACCAAACCGAAAAUCCAGCUGUGGGCACUUUUGGAUUCUCUAGCCCUGAACUGUCACCUGGUCCCUCAGGGCCCAGACUAGGCGACAGCACACAUUGAGUGAAGGAGACUUUUUGGGGGAGGUCAGUGCAGCGAGGAAGACAGUCAUGGGGGAGUGACUGCUUCCCAGGAGACCAAGCCAGUGUGACAAAGGCCACACUCACAAUUUACAGCCCAGGCUGCUACUCUCAGGCUGUCAAUCCACCCCGCCCACCUUCCCCGAGGUCCUCCCUUGUUUGGAUUUACAACUUCAGUUGAAAGAAGUUUCUACAGUACUCGGUCUUCUUUGACCCUUCAACCACCUCAAGAAAACAGUGGGAUCAACUGUUGCGCUUCUGAAGAGACCCUCAUGGCCUGCCGUGUUCUCAUACACAGAGGUUGACUGUGUCUAGAAACAGUACAUUAAAGGCAUGGCCACUUACAGUCACUCGUUUUCCAAGAGGGCGGCCUAGGUAACUCUUAGGCCAGGGCUUUCCAACGCCUUCACUUCACCCACAACACCAGUGAACCAUCAUAAUAUUUGUGAAGGUAUUCGCUCCUAAUGCUGAGCAGAUGCACAUCAUUAAUCACUUGAAAGAGAGCCCGACAGAAGAGGAGAGAAAUGUGCUGGCGGAAGGUGCCAGGAGAGCCCGUGGGGAUGCUCAAGACUUGGCAGACCUGAACUUCAGCGAGCUUGAUGCUGUCAGGAUACCUGCAUUACCAUCUAACACGAGGCCGCUUCUCCAGAUGAAGCAGAGAUUGAAAUGUCACACCAGCAUGAUCAAUUAGAUGAUGUAGAAUAGAGGCAUUUGCUACCUGACCUUAAUCUACUGGGCAAGAAUGAAUGAAUGGUGAAGACUGAGUGCAGAGAGACUCAAAGGUGGAAGAAAUCAGGAGGCUAUCAUUUAAACAGACACAGAGCAGUAUGAAUGUUGACUCAAGACAAAAUGGACAUUCUCAGGAAUGCAUUGGUUGUUUCUAUUUGUGGAGUUCAAUGGUGAGACAUCAAUUUAUCAUAGCUGUGGAAAACUAACUGAAGGUCCAGAGAAAAGUCAUGGAAACGAUGACGAACAAGGAAAAUGGAAUUCAACCAUGUAUCCUGGAGAGGCAAGACGCAACAUCCCAAAAGAAAAUGGAAAUAUCUAAGCAGAACAAAAGUCUGAAUGUCUUAGGCGCUGAAGUCUCAAAGCUACACAUAAAGGAAGCAGAGAAGUCUCUUAAUGGCCCAUCCAGAGGUCAGUGUUCCAAGGACUAUCUGUAUGUCAUGGACCAACACCUGGCAACGAAAGCCCACUAAUAGAGGAGGUGAAGCAAACUCGCAGACAGGGCGCCAUAACGUCAAGACUGUUUCAGAGAAAUUUCCCAUAGCAGCAACCGAGAGGCCAGAAGAAGACCCAAUGGAAAAGAAUCCUAUUGCAAGAAUGACUGUUCUUUGGAUUGAGAUAUUCUCCAAUAGGCAAUACCUUCACAAUAAAUCCCAGGGGAGGAAGACACCAAAUGCUCUCCCCUCUCCUCUGAAAUCUUAGUUUCUAAAAAAUAACUUGUUUGCUGCACAAGCCCAUUACAUAGUUACAUCACCUGAACAACACGACUCACUUUAAAACACACAUGAACGUUUGCACAUGAACUUGUGCAGACUUGCCUGAAGUGACAGGGACAGCCACCUCCUAGUGGGGGGAGUGUUCCUGGGGCCCCCUGCUGCCCAGUGCAGUGUUGGAGCAAUGGCGGUAUGAACAUGCUCCUGGAUCAAGGUCCCUCUUGACAGAGGUGUCACUCCUGAGUCACAGGGUCAAUGGGACUCCCUGAAACCACCCCUUGCAGAAUUCUUGUUCACUGGAUUGGCUUGUUUUCUUUAUGAGUGAGAAAAGCAGCUCUGCACACCGUAUUUUAACAGCACUUGUAAUAUCUCACACAUCUUAGAGAAUGCAAGGUAAAACGCCUAACUGCAGGAAGAUAACGACAUUUGGCUUUUUCAUGUCGCCAUAUGCCUUCCUUAUUGGACAGUGACAAUGAUCAGAGCACCACCCAGAUACUAGUGUGGGAAAUCUGCCAACUGUGACUAGAAAUAUAUAAAACUAUGCUUGCUGCAAGCAGCAGAGUUUUAGGUUCCAUGUAUAGGCUGUUGAUACCGGUUCCAACCCCCAAAUAAAUAGUGCGUUAACAAGUUCCAGCACGAUGAGAGGGCCUCACAGAGAACUCUGGGUCGCCUUUCCAGGGUCUCAUUUGAAGUCGCUUAAACUGCAAGCUGACGAAGGGGUUCAUUCAGAGCAUCGAGGGGAGCCCCCAGAGACCAACUUUAUCCCUUCUCAUGGCAGACUCCGCUCACACAUGGGCUUCUUACUCUUCAGCCACUGGAUCUCCGUUUUGUCACUGCAUAUUGAACUGAAGUGGAUUCAGAACAUCACUGCAGUGAAAGUGAAAAGACAGAGACCCUCAAGGCACAGAAAGAUCAGCAGGAUUAUAGUUACAGGAGGCGAAAUAUCACUGCAUUCAAACCACUGCCCACGUUUCCAGAUGAACUGGAGCCCGCAAAUGACUAGCGUGGCGCUGAUGACAGAGCUUUGUACCAAGUGAAGGGCACAAAAAACCCUCUGCUUCUUUUCCUCCUACGCAAUUGUGCACCCAGGGCAGUGCUGAUAUAUUUCCCAAUACCUCUUUUGCAAGUCCUGCAGUGCAGUGGGCAUGCUGCGCUUGAUACAGCGGCACUGUGGGUGCUUGUAGAUCACUUCUUCUGGCUUCAGCUGCGAACUCUUCUACCUAUUCUUUAUUAUCACCGCCUUUGGGGACUGCCUCUCGGGUAGGUGAGCAGGGUCCUUAACCUAGAGGCAAAGCGAGCACCUCUUGCGUUAAAAAGACCUCGUGGACCCCCCGAGUACCGGAAGUUCUUGGAGCGCAGGAGCAUGGCAAUCCGCAUUCGCGACCGGAAGCUACGUCAUGAAGGCGCCGGUCUUGCUGCUGCUGUGAGGGUGAACCAGGCACUAACAGCCACGUCGUCGGAGGAAGAGGCGGACCAUUUUCAUUUUCAGUCCAGAGAAAAUGAAGUUCGACAUGCCUGAGACUGUGUUCUGAAGACGGCAUAGUUUCCUCGCGCACGUCACAAAUUAUUUCUAAACAUUACUAGAAUAUUUUGCGCCUUUUCUUCGGGAUCUUAAGGUGCAUACUGCCCUGUGUGAUAGGAUAACGAAGCACAGGUGAGGUCGCCACAUGCUGCUAUGCUGCUGCUCGUCCUGCCCGGGCAGUGGGGGCAGUGGGAAGGAGGCGGCUGCCUAGCAGACAGGAGAGCCGGGUCCAGCCGCUGUGAGCAUUAAUUAACGUGUGACUCAAAUGACGGGCCUGCAGCAGUCAAGCUUUUGCCAAGGUAAGUUCAUUGAAAUCAAUACUGCAAUCUGUACUGAAAUCUACCUGGGGAAGAAUAUCUGGUCAUAAAGAAUCUUCUUUCAUGUGACCUUGAUAUGUAAUAAAUAGGUUUUUUCUCUUUCUUCCCACAAGGGUCAAAGAGUGAUUGAGUUAUUGAACAAAAUGGAUUAGCUAAUGCAAAUUAAAAUAAAUUGUCUAGAAAUUAAGCCAGUCCUAAACCCUUGCCCCGGAGAAGAGAUCGCUCACAGGGCUCCUUUAUACAUGAGUUGUCUAAAGUGCUUGUUACUGUUCAUGGCAUGUGCUCAGUAUAUGACAGUUACUAUUAUGUGGUAAUAAUAGUAGCCUGAGAUCACCCCAAUUAGUAGGUAAUGACUAAUUAAUAUAAAUGAAGUUUCUACUGGUCAUAAGCACAUGGCUAUGUAUGUUGCAUCACAUACUAAUAUCUCCACCAACCUGGGCAAGAGGGAUGUACACAUCAGGAUUAUUUUAGCACAGCAGGACCCCCACCUCCCUUUCUUCCUUCCUAAGCCUGGAGAUGAGCAGCCCCUGAAGCAUUUGGUUAAAUACAAGUGAACUUCUGCACUCAGAGUUCUGUUAGGAAGGAGACAGGAGAUAUUGUUACUGAGUGGAAGCUCAUAUUGGCUCACUGCAGUGGCCAAUAAAUCCAGAGAGGAGGUGUUGGGGCAAGGAAUAGCAGCUUUAUUCAGAAAGGCAGCAGACCCAUAAGAUAGUGGACUUCUGUCCCAAAGGGUGAUCUUACUGGUUAGAAUUCAGGCUGCUUUUAUACUAAAAGGGUGAGGCGGAAUGUGUGUUUGGGGUGGCUGGUUGCUGCCAACUUCUUGAUGCACAAAUCCUUGUUCGUGCAGCUGUCCAGGUAGGACUGGUCACAGUUUUUUGUUAUUUUCUGUUUGGCAACUUUUUAUCUCUAUAUGAAGGGGAAAAAAUGUCAAAACAUGAAGGAACUGUCAGGUAUAUUUCAGGCUCUAGGCAACAUUCUUUUUGUACAAAAGGUGGAGAGUUGGCAUGACUAAGCACAGGCAGUAGUGCACAAGGAUUAGAGCUAAAGGACUGGAUCCAGUAUGGAGUCAGGUUUGCUCUUUGUUAUAAUAUGGCUACCAGACAGCAACCAACAGUGUCUAUCCUUACAGUUCUUAGCUUUUCCACCUCUUUUUCUGCUCCUCCUAGCGAAUUCCAUAGCCAUAUGGUUCUGAAUUUAGUAUA